CCAGCAGCCGCGGUAAUUCCAGCUCCAAUAGUUUAUACGUUCGUUGUUGUGGUUAAAAAGCUCGUAGUUGGAUCUCGGCGGCCAGGGCGCGGUUCGUUUUUCGACGCUACUGCGCCAUUUUGGCCGUGUUUGUCUUGGCUGGAGGUCCUCAGGGUGCUCUUAACCGAGUGUCCUGUGGCGCCAGCAGGUUUACUUUGAAAAAAUUAGAGUGCUCCAAGCAGGCUUGACACGCUUGAAUAUUCGUGCAUGGAAUAAUGGAAUAGGACGUCGUUUCUAUUUUGUUGGUUUUUCUGAAAUCGACGUAAUGAUUAAUAGGGACGGUCGGGGGCAUUAGUAUUCAGACGACAGAGGUGAAAUUCUUGGACCGUCUG
rnacentral:rRNA from 1 species